AAAAGUUCUCCCAAGUCACCAGAUCCUAACUCAAACCUGUCUUAAAGCCCAAAAACUUUCAAAACAACACUGUUUUCUUUUGCAAAAUUUUUUUGGUAGGGCUAAAGGAAUGGGGAGAUGAGGAUGUACUAAAGAUACACUAUACUGGUGACUCGUCAGACACAUGCAUUUUCUAAAACACUCUAACUAAAAGCAAAAUAAAAUAAAGUAAAUAACUAAAAAG
rnacentral:lncRNA from 1 species